rnacentral:rRNA from 1 species
GACGAACGCUGGCGGCGUGCCUAAUACAUGCAAGUAGAACGCUGAAGAGAGGAGCUUGCUCUUCUUGGAUGAGUUGCGAACGGGUGAGUAACGCGUAGGUAACCUGCCUUGUAGCGGGGGAUAACUAUUGGAAACGAUAGCUAAUACCGCAUAACAAUGGAUGACCCAUGUCAUUUAUUUAAAAGGGGCAAAUGCUCCCCUACAAGAUGGACCUGCGUUGUAUUAGCUAGUAGGUGAGGUAACGGCUCACCUAGGCGACGAUACAUAGCCGACCUGAGAGGGUGAUCGGCCACACUGGGACUGAGACACGGCCCAGACUCCUACGGGAGGCAGCAGUAGGGAAUCUUCGGCAAUGGGGGCAACCCUGACCGAGCAACGCCGCGUGAGUGAAGAAGGUUUUCGGAUCGUAAAGCUCUGUUGUAAGUCAAGAACGAGGGUGAGAGUGGAAAGUUCACACUGUGACGGUAGCUUACCAGAAAGGGACGGCUAACUACGUG